CUACGGGUUGCAGCAGUGAGGAAUAUUGCACAAUGGGGGGAACCCUGAUGCAGCAACGCCGCGUGGAGGAUGACGCAUUUCGGUGUGUAAACUCCUUUUAUAUGUCAAGAAAAUGACGGUAGCAUAUGAAUAAGCACCGGCUAACUCCGUGCCAGCAGCCGCGGUAAUACGGAGGGGUGCAAGCGUUACUCGGAAUCACUGGGCGUAAAGGACGCGUAGGCGGGUUGGAAAGUCAGGUGUGAAAUCCUACAGCUUAACUGUAGAACUGCACUUGAAACUUCUAAUCUAGAGUAUGGGAGGGGGAGAUGGAAUUAGUGGUGUAGGGGUAAAAUCCGUAGAUAUCACUAGGAGUACCUAAAGCGAAGGCGAUCUCCUGGAACAUUACUGACGCUAAGGCGUGAAAGCGUGGGGAGCAAACAGGAUUAGAUACCCUUGUAGUC
rnacentral:rRNA from 1 species